AUGAACGCUAGCGACAGGCUUAACACAUGCAAGUCGAGGGGCAGCGGGGGAUAAGCUUGCUUUUCCUGCCGGCGACCGGCGCACGGGUGAGUAACACGUAUGCAACCUGCCCCUGUCAGAGGGAUAAUCCGGAGAAAUCCGGUCUAAUAUCGCAUAAAGCGUUUGCGGGGCAUCCUGCGAGCGCCAAAGGAGUAAUCCGGACAGGGAUGGGCAUGCGGCGCAUUAGCUAGUUGGGGGGGUAACGGCCCACCAAGGCGACGAUGCGUAGGGGUUCUGAGAGGAAGGUCCCCCACAUUGGUACUGAGACACGGACCAAACUCCUACGGGAGGCAGCAGUGAGGAAUAUUGGUCAAUGGGCGGAAGCCUGAACCAGCCAAGUCGCGUGAGGGAAGACGGCCCUAUGGGUUGUAAACCUCUUUUGCCGGGGAGCAAAAGCGCCGUGCGCGGUGCUAUGAGAGUACCCGGAGAAAAAGCAUCGGCUAACUCCGUGCCAGCAGCCGCGGUAAUACGGAGGAUGCGAGCGUUAUCCGGAUUUAUUGGGUUUAAAGGGUGCGUAGGCGGACAGUUAAGUCAGCGGUCAAAACGGGCGGCUCAACCGCCUGCCGCCGUUGAAACUGGCAGUCUAGAGUGGGCGAGAAGUACGCGGAAUGCGCGGUGUAGCGGUGAAAUGCAUAGAUAUUGCGCAGAACUCCGAUUGCGAAGGCAGCGUACCGGCGCCCGACUGACGCUGAGGCACGAAAGCGUGGGGAUCGAACAGGAUUAGAUACCCUGGUAGUCCACGCAGUAAACGAUGGACACUAUCUGUUCGGGUCGAAUGGGAUCUGAGUGGCACAGCGAAAGCGUUAAGUGUCCCACCUGGGGAGUACGCCGGCAACGGUGAAACUCAAAGGAAUUGACGGGGACCCGCACAAGCGGUGGAGCAUGUGGUUUAAUUCGAAGCAACGCGAAGAACCUUACCAGGUCUUGACAUCCUACUAACGAGAUAGAGAUAUGUUAGGUGCCCUUCGGGGAAAGUAGAGACAGGUGGUGCAUGGUUGUCGUCAGCUCGUGCCGUGAGGUGUCGGCUUAAGUGCCAUAACGAGCGCAACCCCCAUCCGCAGUUGCCAGCAGGUAAAGCUGGGGACUCUGCGGAGACUGCCGGCGCAAGCUGAGAGGAAGGCGGGGAUGACGUCAAAUCAGCACGGCCCUUACGUCCGGGGCGACACACGUGUUACAAUGGCAGGGACAGAGGGAAGCCACCGGGCGACCGGGCGCGGACCCCGAAACCCUGUCUCAGUUCGGAUCGGAGUCUGCAACUCGACUCCGUGAAGCUGGAUUCGCUAGUAAUCGCGCAUCAGCCAUGGCGCGGUGAAUACGUUCCCGGGCCUUGUACACACCGCCCGUCACACCAUGGGAGUCGGUAACACCCGAAGCCAGUAGCCUAACCGUAAGGAGGGCGCUGUCGAAGGUGGGAUUGAUGACUGGGGUG
rnacentral:rRNA from 1 species